UUGGAGACGAUAUUUAAAAACACUCUAUACUGCUAAUAAUAUAGGAAAGUUUCCAACGAAAUAGACACGAUUUGUUUUUUUAAAAAUAAAACAAAAUUAUAUUCAAAACAUGCUUAUUUUUCCUCUGUCGUUACGUUUUCGCACAUGCAAGUUUGCACAAACCUUUAUUGAGAGUUGGGAACCGGAUGCACUUGAACCUGUAACAGAGUAAGCAAAUUUAUGUGUGAGACAAUCCAGCCAUGUCUGUAGUUAUGAAAAACAACAUUGAACUGCGACCAACAUUCUUCAACUUGGUUGAACAUUAAUGAUAGAAACCAGAUUGAAGCGAGGGACAUUGCGGGAACAAAACAUCAACUUUGUGCUCCUGUCUUGGGCGGAUGUAAAUACAACGCGUGCAUUUUAAUUCGUAUGUAUUCUUACAAAAACAAAUCGAUGAAACUUAUUUAGUUGCUGAUCCUAUACUCACGAAAGAUUACCACAACGUGCAAUUGGUACAAACAUAUUGUAAGGAAGUACGUCCUACGUCCUUAUCUACAACAUUCAACGGUAUGAGCUAUGUAUAUCACAUUAAUGAAAACAGACUGCGUUCCUUAUGAAAACAAAAUGCAUUCGAAGUUGCAAAGCUGAACACUAUUCCAGCUUGUGAUUCACCGAAUUUCUUGAAUACAACAAUGAAUUACAACAACUAAUCUACAAGGUAAUGGGACAUUGAUCCCCUUACAAUCCACAAAAUCUGCACACCUUCAAGAAUUCUGGACCUCCAAUUAACAAUUUCCAACGGAACAUAUCCUGACUCAUGCUCGUUCACUAACUACUGGAAGCGUCUGUUAUGAUAUCAAAUCCAAACAAAAUUCUGUAUGUUCCAGUCAGAUGUUGAAGAAUUAAACAGACAAAAAGUGAAUAACAGUCGUGUUUGUUGGACUAAUCUGAAAACCUACUACGAGUAUAAUGGGUCAAUAAAACGUACAUUUAGAUGUCGUUCAAAAAUACUUGCUGUAUGUAUGGAAAACAAACAUCCGGAUCCUAUACAAGUGUAUAAUAUCUGAUCUAUAGCGUAUGAUAGUAUGUGAGAAACAUACUUCGUAGUAACUGAAUAAUUUUUAGCUGUUGAGAAAUACUGAAAAUGGACCUAUUAUUGUUCGCGUGUGACGCAUUGUCUUCCCUGCAACCUUGAAAUUGACGAAAGAACGUUGUGGUAAUAACGAACCUGUGUGUAAAUUUAAAAUUCAGUCUCUUAUGGCAUUGAAAGCAAAAUAUUCGGGACAAUUGGCUUAUAUUUGAACAAUCAUUCGUAUAUGAUAACUAUGAACAUGCAUGUGCAUACGAAUAUGGUACAAUUGCGAUGUUGAAUAACAACAAAUUGGUAUCAAAACACUAGAAAAUUCCAC
rnacentral:lncRNA from 1 species